rnacentral:rRNA from 1 species
AGUGAACGCUGGCGGUAGGCCUAACACAUGCAAGUCGAACGGCAGCACAGUAAGAGCUUGCUCUUACGGGUGGCGAGUGGCGGACGGGUGAGGAAUACAUCGGAAUCUACUUUUUCGUGGGGGAUAACGUAGGGAAACUUACGCUAAUACCGCAUACGACUUACGGGUGAAAGCAGGGGAUCUUCGGACCUUGCGCGAUUGAAUGAGCCGAUGUCGGAUUAGCUAGUUGGCGGGGUAAAGGCCCACCAAGGCGACGACCCGUAGCUGGUCUGAGAGGAUGAUCAGCCACACUGGAACUGAGACACGGUCCAGACUCCUACGGGAGGCAGCAGUGGGGAAUAUUGGACAAUGGGCGCAAGCCUGAUCCAGCCAUACCGCGUGGGUGAAGAAGGCCUUCGGGUUGUAAAGCCCUUUUGUUGGGAAAGAAAAGCAGCAGGUUAAUACCCCGCUGUUCUGACGGUACCCAAAGAAUAAGCACCGGCUAACUUCGUG